AUGGACAUCCAUGUCGGUCCCAAUGAUUACGCGAAUGAUAUUCGAGUGAAUCUUUGGAUCCCGGACCUUCACCACGGGGUUCGGCGCAGCCGCCUCAUCCAGAGCGAUAGCCCGCGCCGCGUCAACGGCCACAUCCGACGGAGCUAUCGCCGUAACCACAACGACCUCCACCGAGGUGACCACCAUCUCCAAGAGAGUUGCGCCGCCAUGGUGCAAGACAGUCACGCAUGCAUGUUGUGUGUUAAUUUCGGGACACGUACAGAGCAUGAAAAAAUUGCAAGGAACAAGGCUGAGGGAGAGGCUCUCACCUGGGAAGACCUCUCAAAGAUGAAGUUCACAUGGCAAGUUGCACAGGAGACACUUCGCAUCGACCCCCCAGUCUUCGGCACCUCCAGUACAGCACUCGAGGACAUCGAGUUCGACGGCUACCACAGCCCAAAAGGCUGGCAGGUGAUUUGGACGGCAAUCGCGACACACAUGGACCCAAGUAUCUUCCACAAGCCAGCUAAGUUCGACCCAUCCAGGUUCCAGAGCCAGUCAUCCAUGACGUCGCCGUGCUCCUUCGUCCCGUUCGGUGGCGGCCCCAGAAUAUGCCCCGGGAUGGAGUUUGCCAAGAUGGAAACAUUGGUGAUGAUGCACCACCUGGUGAGACACUACAGAUGGAAGCUUUGCUGCAAGUAG
rnacentral:rRNA from 1 species